rnacentral:rRNA from 1 species
UACAGAGGGUGCGAGCGUUGUCCGGAAUCACUGGGCGUAAAGGGCGCGUAGGCGGCCUGCUAAGUAGAGGGUGAAAUCCUGCGGCUCAACCGCAGGGCUGCCUUCUAAACUGUCAGGCUGGAGGACGGUAGAGGCGAGUGGAAUUCCCGGUGUAGUGGUGAAAUGCGUAGAGAUCGGGAGGAACACCAGAGGCGAAGGCGGCGACCUGGACAAGUACUGACACUCAACAACGAAAGCGUGGGGAGCAAACAGG